UACGUAGGGUGCGAGCGUUGUCCGGAAUUAUUGGGCGUAAAGAGCUUGUAGGCGGUUUGGCGCGUCUGCUGUGAAAUUUCGGGGCUCAACCCCGAACUUGCAGUGGGUACGGGCAGACUAGAGUGUGGUAGGGGAGACUGGAAUUCCUGGUGUAGCGGUGAAAUGCGCAGAUAUCAGGAGGAACACCGAUGGCGAAGGCAGGUCUCUGGGCCACUACUGACGCUGAGAAGCGAAAGCAUGGGGAGCGAACAGG
rnacentral:rRNA from 1 species